GCGAGCGUAGUUCAAUGGUAAAACAUCUCCUUGCAAAAGGAGAAGAUACGGGUUCGAUUCCCGCCGCUCGCC
rnacentral:tRNA from 1 species